rnacentral:rRNA from 1 species
GACGAACGCUGGCGGCGUGCUUAACACGUGCAAGUCGAGCGGUAAGGCCCUUCGGGGUACGACGAGCGGCGAACGGGUGAGUAACACGUGGGUGACCUGCCCUCCACUUCGGGAUAAGCCCGGGAAACUAGGGUCUAAUACCGGUUAGGACCUCCUCAUGCAUGUGGGGUGGUGGAAAGCUUGUGUCUUUGAUGCUUGCGGUGGGGGAUGGGCCCGCGGUCUAUCAGCUUGUUGGUGGGGUGAUGGCCUACCAAGGCGACGACGGAUAGCCGGCCUGAGAGGGUGAUCGGCCACACUGGGACUGAGACACGGCCCAGACUCCUACGGGAGGCAGCAGUGGGGAAUCUUGCGCAAUGGGCGGAAGCCUGACGCAGCAACGCCGCGU